rnacentral:rRNA from 1 species
UCACAGCAUGAAUGCAGGUUAGCAAACCCGCUGAAUUUAAGCAUAUAAGUAAGCGGUGGAAAAUAUAUUAAAUAAUAUUCCCUUAGUAAUGGCGAAUGAACAGGGAA